UAACCUGUACUAAUUGCCCGUGAGGCUUAACCAUACAACACCCAAGGGGUUUUGUA
rnacentral:rRNA from 1 species